ACUGCUCAGUAACACGUGGCUAACCUACCCUCAGGACGGGGACAAACCCGGGAAACUGGGGCUAAUAUCCGAUAGGCGAGGAAUCCUGGAAUGGUUCUUCACCCAAAGGACAUUGGAAACAUGCUUUCUCUGUCGCCUGGGGAUGGGGCCGCGUCCGAUCAGGUUGUUGGUGAGGUAAUGGCUCACCAAGCCUUUAACCGGUACGGGCCGUGAGAGCGGUAGCCCGGAGAUGGGUACUGAGACAAGGACCCAGGCCCUACGGGGCGCAGCAGUCGCGAAAACUCCGCAAUGCACGAAAGUGUGACGGGGCUACCCCGAGUGCCGUCCGCUGAGGAUGGCUUUUCCUUGGUGUAACUAGCCGGGGGAAUAAGGAGAGGGCAAGACUGGUGUCAGCCGCCGCGGUAAUACCAGCUCUCCGAGUGGUAGGGAUGAUUAUUGGGCUUAAAGCGUCCGUAGCCGGCUUAGCAAGUUUCCUGUUAAAUUCAGCGACCUAAUCGUUGAGCCGCGGGAAAUACUACUAGGCUAGGAGGCGGGAGAGGUCGACGGUACUUCUGGGGUAGGGGUGAAAUCCUAUAAUCCCGGGAGGACCACCAGUGGCGAAGGCUGUCGACUAGAACGCGCUCGACGGUGAGGGACGAAAGCUGGGGGAGCGAACCGGAUUAGAUACCCGGGUAGUCCCAGCUGUAAACGAUGCGGGCUAGGUGUUGGGGUGGCUACGUGCCACUUCAGUGCCGCAGGGAAGCCAUUAAGCCCGCCGCCUGGGGAGUACGGCCGCAAGGCUGAAACUUAAAGGAAUUGGCGGGGGAGCAC
rnacentral:rRNA from 1 species